rnacentral:misc_RNA from 1 species
GUUGAAGAACGUAGCGAAAUGCGAUAAGUAAUGUGAAUUGCAGAAUUCAGUGAAUCAUCGAAUCUUUGAACGCACAUUGCGCCCCCUGGUAUUCCGGGGGGCAUGCCUGUUCGAGCGUCAUUUCACCACUCAAGCCUCGCUUGGUAUUGGGCAACGCGGUCCGCCGCGUGCCUCAAAUCGACCGGCUGGGUCUUCUGUCCCCUAAGCGUUGUGGAAACUUUCGCUAAAGGGUGUUCGGGAGGCUACGCCGUAAAACAACCCCAUUUCUAAGGUUGACCUCGGAUCAGGUAGGGAUACCCGCUGAACUUAAGCAUAUCAAUAAGCGGAGGA